rnacentral:rRNA from 1 species
UACGAAGGGGGCUAGCGUUGCUCGGAAUUACUGGGCGUAAAGCGCACGUAGGCGGCUCUUUAAGUCGGGGGUGAAAUCCUGGAGCUCAACUCCAGAACUGCCUUUGAUACUGGGGAGCUCGAGUCCGGAAGAGGUGAGUGGAACUCCGAGUGUAGAGGUGAAAUUCGUAGAUAUUCGGAAGAACACCAGUGGCGAAGGCGGCUCACUGGUCCGGUACUGACGCUGAGGUGCGAAAGCGUGGGGAGCAAACAGG